GGGGGGUGGGGGGGGGGGGGGGGUUCAAAAGUAGUAUUGGAAGUGAAGAUAAAGUGUGUUGGAGGGUGGGGAGGACACAAUCAAUGUAUGAUAUCACUUGUAGAACUUGUUUCCGUACUUUUUAAAAGCAAACUUAUUUUCAAGAAAAUAUUUUCUAAAACUUUCGACCAAACAAACUUAAGAAAAUCGAAAAAUAUUUCUACUUGGCCAAGUUUGUCCAUGGCCAUUCAUUUUCGUGGACAAUGAGAUUUGAACUCAGAAUAUAUGUUACUCUACUUUAAUACUAUACAGAAUAAUGUAACCAUCACAUCUAAACAUUGAAAUUGUUAGAAGGAACACAAUUUCAAUUACUCAUACAUAAUUAUAUUGUAUUGUCCAUUGAAACAAUAUUUAUUUUUGAGGAAUGAGAUCUCUUGGCCAUUUACAAAUCGUAUAGAAGAAAAUAGUCUUUUCAAAUCUCUUAUAUAUAAAAACAAAUAUCUCUCGCUCUACUCUAACACUCUAUUGAACAAUGUAACCUUCGCAUUUAAAAAUCGAAAUUGUUAGAGAUAAUACUCUUUCAAUUACUCAUACAUAAUAUAUUGUAUUGUCUAUUGACAUAAUAUUUUAUUUAUGAGGAAAUGACAUCUCUUGGACAUUUCAAAAUUGAACAAAGAAAAUAUUUUUUUCAGAUCUCUUGUAAAAUAAUGAAGACUUUAUUUUAAAAAAACAAUUUGUAAAUGACCUACAAAAUCAGUUCUCUCGAUAUUUAGUUUCAUUGUUUUCCCCAUUUGUAAAGUGAAGAAUUCUCCAAACAUGUUGAUCCUCCACAGAAAGGGAAAAAGAACAAAUUAAACUUAAGUAAUAAUGCUAACUUCCAUUAAUUGAGAUACAAAUGAGAAUACAUUCUUUAAUAAUUUGAACUAGGGCACACACAUCUUCACAACAAUUACAUAACAUUUUCAUACUACAACUUCUUCAACUCAACAAUUUAUUUAUUGUUCCUAGUAGUACUACUAGUACUAAUUAAUAUUAAUGUCAAACUUUUCUUGAAAUAGGGGUGAGGUGGGGGUGUCCUCUUGGAACCAUGGGAAGGAUAAGCUAGAACCAGAACCAGGACAUGUGCUACCUGCUAUUCAAGUAGCUUCCGAGAGGAGGGGGGGGGGGGGGUCUUAAUUGCUUUUUAAACCAGAUAUGUAAGGCUUGAUAAGUUUAAUAAGUGAGCCUUGAAGAUGAAGUGACAUGACUUCAUUAGUAGAACCAACCAAUAACCCCCCAAUAAAAACAGCAGGAAACAUGAAUGAACUAUUGACACCCAUCCUUAUUAAGGCCUUUUCCAUUUCUUUUCCAUCAGACUCAUGAUCAAUUUCACAAACAUAUGGAAUUACACCAAGAUCUUGAAAUAAUAUACUCACUGCAUAACUCAAACAACAUGUACUCUUGCUAAAAAUCACCACUCCAUGUUCUCUAGUCAUUCUUUGUACCUUCUCCAUAUUUUUUUUGACAAAAAUUAGAUGAAGCAACUAGCCAAAAAAAGAGCUAGAGAAAUAAAAGGAUUUUUAUUUCACAAGCUCAAAGAUAGAUAGGCUAGGUUGCUUGAAAAUAGGGGUGGGCAUGGUGAGUCUAUUUAUAGUUAUAAAUGAAUAAAGAAAAGAACCUUUUAAAAGAUUGUGAGCUUUAUUUAGAUGCUUUGAAAAAAAAGAUCCUACUACUACUAUUUUGUUCCACAUAUAAAGGGCAAGUUGGAAGAACAUAUAUUCUAUGUGAUCAUGCAUGCACGUUUUUAAUGGAAUUUAAGUUAUAUACAUUAUCGAUAUAAAAAAUAUAUAUACAUUUUAUAUUUAUUUGUUGUAGCAGGUGAAUGGUGAUAACACCAUUUUUUGGACUAUAGGUUUAAUUUUCCAUUCAUGAGCCCACUUUGGUCUGUAGAAGUGAAAUUUCUUCCUCUCAUAUUAUAUUAGUGUUGAGUUUUGCUCUUAAAAGUCUUUCUUGAUUUGUGUGCUCCUUAUUUAAUAUUUAAAAAAACUUGUUGAAUUUUGAGGGAAUAUCUCAUAAAGGACAAUAUCAUAGAUAUGUUUUAAGCUUUCAAAAUUUUUCUAUAAUUUUCAAGAUCAAAUAUUUUUCUAUAACAUUUCCAAUAAGGAUGGCAUAAAAAGUGCUCCAUGCUCUUUUUUGAGAUUAAAUUUAUACUGUCAGUCAAAUACAUAAUAUAUAAUAUAAUCUUGAAUAUUCCACACGUACCAAAAUGACUCAAGAUUUAAUUGUCAAACAACUAGGAAUUAUUCCACUAAUCUACAACUUAUAAGUAAUAAACAAUAUAUCGUAAUCACUAAUUAUUUCUCAGAAAAGAAAUUGACUCAUGUUGUUUCUCAGAGAACAUAAAAUAAACAAAACUUUGAUAAACAAAUUAAAAUUUGAAACUAAAAAGUUUGUGAUUGAUAAAUAAACUAAUAAAAAUAAGAAAAUGUAACAUGAUAAUGGAAAAAUGAAAAAGUGUCUCGAUCAUACAUGAAUAAAUACUAAGUAAGUAAUCUUGGAGAGAUCAAGCUUUCUGUGUAAGUGAACCCAUUCAGAAAUUUACCUCGAGGCAAUAAUGUAAAGGGUCCUCUUUGUGUCCUAAAUUUAAUGUCCCUACCUAGUAAAUGUGCGCACCAGAAUAAUAUUUCACCAUUUGCAAACUUAUAUUUUGGUGUGGCUCUAAGAAGAUAACGAUCUUCUAUAGAUAAUAUUGCAUUCCAAGAUUCCUUGAGAUUAUAAUCUCUCAUUACCCAUACCUUAAAAGGACGGAUCCCCUGAUCACACGUCUUAGAAUAAGCACAAAGCAUUCCUUCCAAUAUAGAAAUUCCAGUACUGCCGGUCUUCAACAAGCAUAUUUCCUCUGGCAAUGAUAUCUCUCCAUACAUUUCAUGAGAAAUAUUAAAUGAAACCACAAAGUAUUUUUUUGAAUAAAACCCAAUCCAAUGAAAUGUCCCAUGUAUAAAUGCCAAAGAAUCCAUACCAGACACCUUAUUGCCAGUGACACGAGGAUGUUCACCAAUUUUUCGCCAAGAACCACUUUUUAGUGUGAAAAUUUCAUCAGGCACUUUGUGAUUAUCAAAUUCAUUCCCCUCAAUUUUUAGAAUCUUAUACUCACCACUACUUGAAUCAAGACCCAAUCCCAAACAAGAAGUUAAUCCCUCUGAAAAUUCUGGAAUGGGAAGUACCAUUGAUUCUCUCGUUGAGGGAUUCCAUAACAAAAGUAUAUUGGGCUCAACAGUAUUUUCAAGAACUUUAAUAAUAAACAAGCCAUUACAACCAUUAUAGAUUGUGCAAAACCGUGGUUCAAUGUUUAGAGGAAAAUUCAGUUUAUGUGUAUCCUCAACCAACUGAACCGGCGAUAAAGAACAAGAGUAUAUGGGAAAUUCAUCUUCCUCAAUGUAUUGUUGGUAAAAAAGAAAUUUUUGAGAAUUCUGAUCAUUCUUUGCAUGGUUGAGAUGUUUCAUCCUAAAAUAUGAUUCAUCAAUUAAUGUUUUCCAAAAUUUUGAAACACAUUUAAAUCGAAGAAGAGACUGCACAGGUAACCUGCUGAGGAUGUCACUAAGUGUGCCCUCUUCAAAGUAAACUUUCAUGGCCUAAAUAGGAAAAAAAGUGAUAUUAGACACUUAGCUUACUCUUAAAAAUGUCAAAAUAUUUAUACCAUUUCAAUCAAGAUAUUAAAAAGAUAAACCUAGAUUGAUCUUUUUCUAUUUAUUAUAAUAAAACAAACAAACGGAGUAAUGAAAUUUAGAAAAAAAUUGGUGGAGGAAAAUUUUCAAGACCAUAGUAGUGGCAACAAGAGAGAGCAACACAUGAGCCAAUUACUUUAAGCAUUUUCAACAUAUUUGAUGUUUAAGUGAAGACAUAAAUUUAUCACCUAACACUAUUUAUAAUGUGACUUACAUUUUUAUAUUUGAAACUUUUUUUUUUUUUGGUUUGUAAAAGGAGUUAAUUUAUUUAUAUAUAAUAUGCAUCCAUACAAUCCAGGUGGCUAGAAGCAUUACUAUUGAUACUUGGUAAUGAUACAUCACUUUUCAACUAGCUUUUUCAGUUCGGUAUUAAGAAAAAUAUUUUCUUACUUUUUUUCUUUGUUUCGUAGGUUUGUAAAUAAUAUUAAUAGCAAUUGAUGAAGUAAAUUAAAUUGAAUUUUUUUUUUUUUUUAUCGUAGCAACAAAACACACCUAGAAUCCAAGUCAAAUCGAUAACAAAUUCCAAUAAAUGAACUCAAUUGAUGUAUAGUGAACUUACAUGAUCUAGAAUAUCCACUGAGUUUGCUUUCUUUGAAGACUCCAAAACUAUUUGUCAUGCAUUUAAAAUUGAAUAAAAUUAGCUCAAACACGCACUAUUAUUAUUAAAGAAAAUUAAAACACACAACAAAAAUAAACAUAUACCUUUAGGAGUUUGAUUGGAAAAUUUUAAUUUCUUUUUCCGUUGGCGAUUCAACAUCUUUAGAGCUUUGAUUUGAAUGUUACAAUUUGUUUUUUGUUUUUUUUUAUGUAUUGAUAGGAUUUGAUUGUUUGGUGGCCUUAUUUAUAACACAAUUUCAUUUGUUUUUGGGAAAAACAUAAAUACACUACCAAAAAGAAUUUUUUUGAUUAUUUAUCCAUAUUAGUACCAUCCAUCAAAAAGUAACACUAUAUUAUUUUCCUUUAAUAUCCAUCUUCCAUAUUUAAAAUUAUAAUAAUUUAAUUUAAAAUCUACAAUUCUAUUGUUUUUAGAAAAAAAUAUAAAUAUACCGCCAAAAAGAGAAUUUUUUAUAAUUUAUCCAAAUUAGUAUUAUCCAACAAAAAGUAACACUAUAUUAUUUUCCUUUAAUAUCCAUCUUCCAUAUUAUCAUAAUAUUUAAUUUAAAAUGUAAUGUUCAUUUUGAAACUACAAUAUUCAAUUAAAGAAUACAAUAUCCAACUCAUACUAUAACAAUUAUAGAAUUCAAUUCAAAAGUAAAAUAUUCAAUGAAGUAGAUUAUAUAAUUUAAAACUACAGUAUUCAAUUUUAAAAUACAAUAUUCAAAUAAAAAUUAUCAUAGACAUCUCCAUUUUAUCCUCUUUUAUUCCAUUUGUAUAUAUUUCUCUAUUUCAUUGCAUUUGUGUAUCUCUCAUUUAGUUCAUCCUCUUUUAUUCCAUUCUCUAAAUCGUUUUAAUUGAAAAUAAUAUUUAUAAAAUAUCUCUUUCUUUUAUACAUCUCCAUGGAUUAAAUAAGAUAAUGAUCAUCAAUUUUAACUUGAAAUAUAUGACAAAUAUUAUAGGUAGACUAACAUAAUGUAUCUCAAAUAAACGGGUGAUAUACAUUUUAAUAGACAUUAAAAUGUAUACAUAUUAUUCCGACUAUACAAUAGCUCAGUAUCAUAUUAUUCUAUCUAUAUAUAUAAAAUAAUAAUAUGCAUUCAUAUUAUUUCAGUCAUGCAUACUUAUCAUAUGGAACAAUACUGCUCAAGCAAACUCUGAAGGAAAAAAAAUAAAAUUAAUAAUAAUUGUCAUUUUUCUUACAAUAAUAAUAAUUUUUUUAUAUGGUAUGUGCCAACAAUAAAAACAAUAAUAUAUCUGAUGAAAUUUCAAAUAAUAAGAUUGUCAUGAUUUAAAAUCGGAUCAUGAAUUGAUGACACCUAUCUUUGUAAGUCUAUGAUAUAUAUAUAUAUAUAUAUAUAUAUAUAAGUGUCACGAUCCAGACCGUUGUGAUUGACACCCACUCUAACUCUCCGGUGGGAGAAUCAUUACUACAACCCAAGCUGGACAAUUUAAUAAAAAACUAUGCAUUUAAAGAUAUGAAAACAGGUUUAAAUAACUAUAUAAUUAAUAUUGAGUCCCCAUAAACUCCAAAGGUUUUACCAAACAAAUAACUAAUCAAACUAAUGCGGAAGAACAACCCCUAGAACCUGAAAGUCAUUGUAUCAAACUCUACUAACGACAAGUCUAAGAACAAGGGGUACAACCCCGAAACUAAACAACACCUUAACAAAUAGUAUGAGUCUGAAAAGAGUGGACUUAAACAAGGAAGAUCCAUGGCAGCCUGAAAGAAUUGGCUCACCUUUGAAUCUGGUCACGCUCAAUAGUCACCUAGCUAAGGUCUAUCAAUAACCACUUGAAGAUGCCAUGUACUCAACAAAGAAAGAGCAAGUACAGAAUCAGUACACAACCACAGUGUACUGGUAGGAUCAGGUGGCUAUCCUAAUAAGUGAAACACAUGCAAGUAACCAUAACAUUAUAAAACAGGCAUAUACCGAACAUAUGCAAUAUUAGUCAUCUUUUCAGGAUCAAUGUAGCAUCCCACAUUCUCAAUAAUACACAUUGGUUAUUAAUUUAUAGCAACAUACAGUCUUUCAAUAUCAAUCAUCAUUAGAUAUGAACGUAAUCAUCACAAGUAGAUACACAACAUAAUUCAAUGGUCCUAUCAUGGAACCUCAUUCAAUGGUUCUCUCAUGGAACCCACACCCAAACUGUUAGCAUACCGGAAAGUGGUACCCGAUCCAAUGUUUAUGCCAGAACGUGGCAACCGAUCCCAUAUUUAUGCCAAAACGUGACAACCGAUCCCAGUUAGUGUGUCGGAUCGUGACACCCGCCCAUUCAACAAACCACAAUCACAAUCACAAUGUAUAUUCUCACAAUCAUACAACAAGACGUGAUUCAUGGCAUACAAUUAUUCAAUUAUCCUCAUUUAUGAUUAGGGUGAUCAAUAAUGCAACGUUCGCAUACAAACAUGCAUUAUAAUGAAGCGAUUACAAACUUAUAUCACACCAACGUGAAAUCACAACCAUUACCUACCUCAAAAUAAACUUGAAACCCUAAGAAACUUGAUCCUUCCUUUUUCGGAUUCGUUCCGCUUGUUCUUGGUCUACAAACAACAAUUAUAAUACGAGAAUCAAUAAACGAACACUAAUUACCUGAAUUACUAACAAUUCUAUCAACCCUAGAUCAAUCCAUGAUCUCAAUUAGGGUUGUUUCCACCAUGAAUUCUAGAUCAAUCCCCCCCAUUGAUAAUAACCCAAGAUAAUAGGUUCUACGGAUCAAAAAAUGGAUUAGGGGAGUAAAGUCCUUACCUUUAGUGCUAAAAGAGGUGGAAAACCUUUAAGAAAUAGCCCUGGGUUAUUUCUUAGCUCUUAAGAAUGAACUUUUGCAGAAAAUAACAUUUUUUGAGGGUUUUACCCUAUUUAAGUCGUGACUUUCCUGCGACGGCGGGACCCAUCCCGAUACAGUUGGAUCCAUCCUGCUACAGCUGGAUGCACGGAGACAAAAUGUUACCCGUUCACGCUAAGAUCAUUUUCGAGAGUUCUACUCGUCCAAAUUCAAUUCCGUAAAGUCGUACGAGUUCCUUAACGUCUUAACUAUAUACUUAUAUGGUCCAAAUCAUAAUUAGAUCUUUCAUUCAUUACCAGAUUUACCUAAGCUUUGCUGACUUCGAUUUCGUCCAAAUCUGGACUAGACUAGGAAAUUCCAAGUUACUACCAAAAAGUUUUCUGACCCCAAUUCUUUUCCCAUUGACUUUUCCCUAACGACGAAAUCAGGUCGUUAGAAUAGAUACCAAUUUACCCAUCACUCGUCCCCGAGUGAUCAACUAGAAAAGACUGGCUAAAGUAAGGGUAUAGUAGUACCUGAAUCGCUAAACAAUCGGGGAUACUCGACUCGCAUGUCCUUAGCUUUCGGACAUUACGAUCAAGAAUUUCAACCAGUUCUUCCUCAUACAGAAGGUCUUGGUUAACAAAAUGAGUCUCACUUUAUGAUAUAAUCUUCAUCUCCAAACUAACCAAUUGAAUACUUACACAUCCUCCCAUACAAUGUCUCAAUGAAUUCAUCUCAAUACUCGAGUGAUAAAUAUUAUUAUAUGUAAACUUAACUAACAACAAAAGCGAUUCUCAAUAACCAUCAAAGUUGAUCGUGUAACAUCUUGCACCUAGAAAUGACUAUAAAGAGUUUAAAAUAUGAAAAUAUUGAUUUUUGGAAAGAAGAAGGAAAUCUGAAAAUUUUGUCUAAGUUAAGAAAGUGAGUUUUGGCCAUUUUCAAACGGCCAUAAAUCCUAGAUUAGGAGGAGUUAGGAUCAGAACGUGAUAUGGUUGGAAAUCCCUUGGAGAUAUCUUUCCAACGCCUCCAAGAGUGCACGAUUUCGACAUCGUAUGAGUGAGAUAUGCCUUUCGGAAGUUGGGUUGUUGGAUUGAGGAAAGUCCCAAUCCGGAUUUAGGGCCGGCAAAGCAGUCUUUUCUCUAAUUAAUUUCCUAAUUUGAUUUUAGGGAUUUACUGGGGUAAAAACAUGACUUAGUCAGUUUGGAGAAUUGAGAAAUACGCUUAGGGCUUGGAGAAGAGAGAAAAGAAGAAAAAAAGGGAGAAAAAAAGCAAGAAUUCGUCAAAAUCAUCCAAACUUGCGAGUGGAAUUCGUCGGGGGUGAUCCCUAUUAAGGUAUGUGAGAUCUUUUUGUGUUGGGUUAGUUCACCCACACACCAACUUGUUUCAAUACAAUUGUUUUGAGUUGUUUACAUGUUGAAGAAGUAAGGUUCUUGAAGAACAAAUUGUAGAAUUCUUGUUGGUUGAGUUGUUGAUGCUUGGGGCUGAGUUGAUUCAUGUUUCCAAGUUGUUUUUCGAGUUAGAUUGGUUGUAUAUUGAGGGUACAAUUGAUCCUAAGUGUUUUGGGGAAGGAACUAUGGAAGUUACGGAGGUUUAGAAAGGAAGAACGAAAGAGAAAAGUCGGAAGUCGCUGGGCAAAAGGGCAAGGGCGCCGCGCCUGCCAGAGUGCCACAAAAACUUCUCUGAAGUUUGGCCUUUGGCAUGUCACGCCAGCCAGACUUCUCUGAAGUUUGAGGGCUGGCGCCCUGCGCCUCUCAGAGCUCCAGGGACGCCAGGUCUCCCCAUUCGUUCCCCACCUUUUCGUACUUGUUCCUAAGCAAUGUACCUAUGUUUUCUAGUUGUUUCAAACAAUCUAAGGUACAUCUAAACAUCAUGAAAUCAUCCAUAAACAUGAGAUCAUGAACCUUGAAUCCAUAAUCCAAUUCAAGGAAAGUUAAGAUCAAAGUCAAAGAAGUUAAGAGUCAAAGUCUAGAAGUUAAGAAGCAAGUCAAAACCAAGUUUCUUAAAGUUUUCAAGAGUCAUUAACAAACGUUUUAACUUCGUUUUUAGGCUAAGUGUUAAGUUAAGCAAAAAGUAAAGAGUUGAGUUCAUUUCUCAAAAAGCUAUAAGGGGACUAAGUAUUCCCAAAGAGUUUAUAAAUGUUUUCACAUCUGAGCAAGAAAGAGAACAUCGAUUCCAAGAGAGCUUUUAAGCUAAGUUUUGAGUAAUUAUCUCAAUUCAAAAAAAGAGUUUUGAUUUUACAAACAUAUGAGCUAAGUAUAUUUUGGGAGUAGUAUUGAACACCGAUAUGGGGAUGCGAGUUCAUAUUAACUCAAGCCUCCAUAAACCAUGUAGCCAUCCUGGGUAGUAAAUGAUCAUACUUUUAAGAUGACUCCUUAAGAUGCUUUUAACAUAGACUAGUGGAUCCAUUAAUUUAAGCGUUCUAUAUGAUGACAAAGUAUAAGACAAUUCUGGCAGUGUGGGCAAGACGCUGUAUCACCACUUAGGCUCAUAGUGGUGAUUGUCGGUUAGAGAAUCUCCCAUAAAAGUUGUAGUACUUUUAUAUUUAGGUACAAUUGAGUUUGUUAUUGCUUUAUCUUUAACAAACUAAGUUGUUUACACUGUUUUACAAGCUUUAUAUAUAUUAAAUGUGUCUUAUUGCUUUAUAUUGAGUUCAGUUAUUCAUGAGUUAAAAGAGCCAAGGUAAGUAUUCCUUUGUACUCCUUUCAAGCUUAAGUUGUUGUUUAGCUUUCCAACUCGCAUACUCAUACAUUCAAUGUACUGAUGCCAGUUGGCCUGCAUCUUAUUAUGAUGCAGACACCGGUAACCAGGAUUAGCAUCCAGCACAUCGUUGAUCCAGUUGAGUACUCCAGAGUCAGUGGUGAGCCUCCUUGCAUUCUGGAGGACUCUGUUAUUUCGCUUUCCUAGUUUUGCUUUAUUAGGAUGUUGUGGGGUCUGUCCCAACAUCCAUCUCAGUAUUAUAGAGGCUUCAUAGACAGUCAGAUAAUUAGUAUUAAGUCUCUCAUCUAUGUAUUUGCAGAUACUUUGUUUUGAGACAUAAGUUGCCAUUUUGGCUAAGAUGUUAUCAUUUAAAUUAUUGCAUUGAGUUUAUUCUGUUGAGUUAAGUCUUCCGCUGAGUUAAGUAAGCUAGACCAAAGGUCCGCUUGGGGCCAGCGAUGGUCUCCGAGUGCCGUCCAUGUCCAGGGUGUAGGCUCGGGGCUUGACAGAUCGCACACAUGUCUGCAAAAUAUUGUCAAGGACUUGACACAAACAUUAGGAUGAAUUCUUUCUCACAUAACCAUGAUAAAAUCCAAAAUCAAAACUCGCCACAAUUAGAGGUGAACCUAAACCAACUAACACACGCUCAUGAUACUCAAACAAUCAUAGUUCUUAUCAACAUCUCCAUCCCAUAACAUAAAUUCCCAUGAGCUUAGGUUACAUAAAUUUCAAUCUUUAGACAUCAGAUACUCCUUAAGGGAAGAUAUGUCCACACAUACAAACCACCCAACAACACUAUAAAAAUGCCAAAUUUAGUAAUUCUAGAUUACCUCUUAAGAAUAAUAGAAUUGGAUUCAAUGAUCCCCACAUUCAACCACACAUAAUCGAUACAUGACCUCGACGACAAGAUGAAAUAUAAGAUUGUCGGACAAGCAUAAAUACUCAUGGUAGCUUUUCUAUAAAUUCUCACAAGCAAGGUGGUACAUGUAGGAUGAUGAGUCCAACAAUUAGACUCAUUUAGGGCUUUAUUUUAAUACAAAUAGUGUCCUCAAAUGCUCAUUUAUUCUAAAUAUCUUAUGAAAACACUUAAGUUUCAGGUAUUUGAAGUUUUAGUGGAAGCAUGGACACUUAGGCGCAAAAAGGAACAAAAAGCCUGAAAAGAACGAAGAAGCUGAAGCCUGACGAUCGCCAAGCACACUUGGUGAUUCACCGAAGGGACACAUUCCACCUUUUGUUUCAGUACGCGAGGCCCUGAAGGAGCAUGAUCAAAAAGGCGAUGAAAGGAGCAAUCGGCGUAUCGCCGAAUAGUUUCGUGAAGCAGUACUAUGUCGCCCAAUGACACAGAGCACUACGAUGUUGAAGGCUAGUGCAAGACGGUGACGAACUACACUAAAGGGUGAAUUUUCGAAUUAAUCAACGAUUUCGAUUAACCUCGUCGAACGAUCCGCCAACACUAAUUUCUGAUGUCUAUAAAUACUAAACUUGUUAUUAAUUUUUAGAGGAGUCGAACAUUUAUUUUAAUUUUCACAAUAAAAUAGUACUUUUGGGAUAUAUUUUCUCUCAAGUUUGGAGAGGGUUUUUGGGAGACUUGAAGAAAAAAGGAUUUCAUCUUCCCCAACUUGGAAGGGGUCUUCUCCAUUCUUCUUCCUUUGCUUAAAUCAAAGUUUAAUUCCUUAUACCCAGUUGAUUUUAAUAACAUUUUAGGUGUAUUUUGUUAUGUCUUGAUGUGUGGCAAAAAACCCCAUUCUUGGGGUGUGAUUUAGCAAAUAUGUGUUGAUAUUAUUGUUGGGUCUUGCUUGCUGAUAUGUUAGAUGUAUUUUAAUGGUGAUUUGACCUAGUGGUUGUGGUUUGAUUUAAUAGGUUUGUAGUUGCAAAUACAAAACCACCCAUGUGUUUUUGGCUUGCCCGAGAGGGAGAUCGCGAAACCAAGAUCACUAGACUGAUGGCCUAAAGAGUGUGUCGGCAUGAGGUUCAAUCCUAGUCCCAUAUCCUAACACUCAUCUCGAGAGAGUGAGUGGGGUAAGGCGUAGGCUGACCUUCAUCCGGCAAAUUGGUGCCCAAGAGGAACGCAUUUGAAAUGGGGUAUGUUGCCCGACAGGGAACUUAUUUCCAUCUAAAGCUUAGCCUAGUUAGUAUUAUCUUGCAAAUUUCCUAUCGAAAAGAUAUACCCAACGAUUUAUCUCAACUUGUGUUGCAGUCACACCCCAAGAACUUGUCCCCAUACUUGAUUUUCUUGUUAUAUUUGUUGUUUUUACUACUUGUGACAAAACCCCCAAUUGAUAUUUGACACUUUUGUGUCACCCCCUUUUAAUUACUAUAUUUUUAAUUGUUAAUGUCUUUAUCUACGACUAGUUUGAACUAAAUUUUAUUUCUCUAGUAAUUCUCAAACCUACUCCCUUGGGACAUGACCCCAAUCCUUGGUUGGGUUACUAUAUUAUCAACGAUCGUAGACACUCGUACUGUAUGUUAGUGUCGUUGGUCACGAUAAGCAUCAAAAUGGCGCCGCUGCCGGGGAGUGGUGUUAUUUGAAAUUUUUUAGAUCAAUAGAAUUUUUGUUCUUAUUAGUGGUAGUUCACUAAUUUAAUUCGUAGUUUUGUUUUUUAAGUUGUCUGAAUCUAAACAGGGGAAACAAGCAUGGAAAGAAAUAUUCGGUUACCAAUGGAGUUUUCUCCAUUAGCGGUAAUGAUGUAUCGAAAUAGUAUCCUAACCUUCAAGCAAUUGGAGGAUGGGCGGAUCCAUGAGACAUGGGCAAGAUUCAAUGAACUACUAACUCAAUGCCCUACUCAUGGAAUUCCCGGUACGAUCCUCCUCGAUUGCUUUUACCGAAGUCUUGGCCUCAGAAACAAGAUGAUGGUCGACCAACUCCUUCUUGGCGGGACAUUAAAGCAGCCAUAUGCAAUAGCAGUCCAACUGCUUGACAAUAUGGCUAAAAUGAGCCAAGAGGUUGAAAAAGAUUUCUUGAUGACCGCACUAAACAGUCAAAUAGAUGAGUUAAAAAGAAAUAUGGUGAAGGUCUAAGCUCAUUGCAAAAGGACAGAUAAAUACAUCCCCCAUUAUAAUAGAAGAAAUAUGAGAACAAGAAGAUUAAACGCAUCGAUGGAAUGCUCUCAACGAUUCACCACAAGGUGACCGAGCAAGACAAAGAGAUGGAGGGACUGAAAGAAGACAUCGAAGGAAUGAAACAAAUUAUUUGGUCUCAUUCUAAAGUUGUCCAACUACUCGAGAAGUUGAUGAGUCAUGCAUUGCCUCAACUCCAUCUGCAGAAAAACAAGGGUGGCCUAAUAAGGACACGGCCAACCUCAAUAACGAAACUUGAGCAAACACUUGCGUCGUGCCACGACGGCAAAUAAGGAGCUUCUUGGGAGGCAACCCAAGGUCUUAAAUGUUUAGGAUUUUACUUUUAUGAAUAAUGGUGUGUUAAUGUUGCAGGUUAAAACGAGGAAAGUGUGGAAAAUUUCAAGUUGGCAAGCAGAAAAUCCAUUUCGCGAGUCGCUAAACAGGUCGACAAGCUCGACUAGAUCCGCUGUUUGGAUCAAUACAAGCGUUGUAUAGAGCUUGUAAAACUCAGCGAACUCAAAAAGCAGCUCAGCGCAUCCUCAACAAGUUUGGCGAUCUCGAUGCAGACCGUCGAAUUCACCCUCUGAAAAUUUAAGAUUUUGGAGAAAGGGUGAGAUAAAUGACCUCUCGGCGAAUCGCCGAGUGGGUUGGCGAGUGCGACUAACAUCGCCAAAUGGACAUAAAUUAAACAACAUAUAUUGCCAACAAUCGCACUUAUUCAUUCGUUCUCACUUUCAAACUCCAUAACUUCACACCAAGGUAGUAAUUUACAUUUUCUCACAUUAAAUUAGUAUUUUAGUCACGAAUUAGUGCUUGGAACUCAGAUUUUCGUUGCUGCCUAGCAUUACAAUUUUGUUCACUCAGCAAAAAUGUUAGUUUCUGAAAAACCUAUGUUCGCUCUUGAAAAGAUAAACCUCAUCUGUAAUCUAGAUGCCCAUUAAUGUGUGUUAGAUCUCUCUGAUAUGAGUAGAAAUUCUCGAAUGCCUACUUCUGAUUUGUAAAUUUGGGGACUAUUUGCUUUUACUGUUCGAAUUCCUUUUUCACUCUGCUUACCUUGAAACUAAAUGUUGUGAACUAUGCAUAAUGGGUGUUGACCAUGAUUGGGUGUUGUGCGUCUGGGCUGAAUUUCAUUUCUGCAUAGUUUAAUUUUGUUUUUGGGGUUUGUACGAUCGAUUUUGAGAAGUGAGUUGAAUCUCAGGCACGUUAAGUCAGUUGGCAAGCUGAGUUGAGCUCACCAAAUCACUCUGUGGUUCACUUACUAACCCUGAAUCGCCUUUAAUUUCACAUCUUAAGUGGUGUGGGCUCUAUAACCUUAGGCGGACAUAUGCAUAAUCACCAAAGAGGUUUGGCAAUUCGCUGAGUAAAUCGACGAGUAUGUCUGCAAUUUUGUGCUACAAUGUAAUUACUAAUUACUCUCUCUAACGUUUUACAGAUAUGGCCAAACAACCAACCAAAGGAAGGGAGAAAGGAAUUGUGAUCAGUGAAAAUGUACCUCCACCUAGGGGCAAGGCCACCUCAACUUCAAAAAGCAAGGGGAAGAGCAAAGCCCUCAAGUUAUCCGACGCAAGCUCUGACAGAACAUACUUGUACACAGCUGAGCCACCCACAUAUAAUAGUGAAAGUGCUAGGUCUGACGAAGACUACCAGACAAAGGCAAUGAGGGCUGAAUUACGAUCCAAAAUGAUACAUGAUCCAUAUCGGAUCAGAAAUAGUCAAAUCACCACUUCAACUCCUCCAGCUCCAGAGCAAGCAUUAGUGUUGGCACCUCCAGUACAAGGUCCCCAGCAUGGAUUAACGAACAGAUCAAAGACGGAAGGUCUGAGAACGAUCAUUGAGGAGAAAUGACUUUCCAUAGACGGGGUUAUUGAUAGGUAUCCAGAGGUGAUGGAUUGCCUGAAACACCACAAAUUCCAAAUCUUCACAAGACAUCGCGGCUCUUACAUACCAAGCUAGUUUAGAGAGUUCGACGACGCAUAUAGUGCAUUUGAACCUCAACGGAAAAGGCUAGUCUCAUCUUUUAAAGCAGUUGACUACGUGGUUGUCAGAAGAAGAAAGGUAGCUUGUGACAGUAAGACUAUUAACAUAACUUUGGGUAUGUCCAAUAAAAUUAAUGAUCACUGCCAACACUUGAUCAGGAUACAGAAGCUAGAUGUGACAAAAAAAGUGGUUAGCUCCGCUAGUCUCAGAUGAUAAUGCUCCGACAUGGUUAGCAGAAAAAGUUUCGAUUAAGAAGAAAAAUCUGAAUGUAGCUGCACGAUACUAGUUCGGAUUCAUCAGCAGCACAGUUAUGCCAUCACAGAAUGAAUCAAUCCUUCGCCAUGCUAAGGCAGCUUGUCUUGGAUGCAUCAUGGAGAAAACCAGGAUAAAUCUCGGGAUGAUCAUUGCCUCUGAGAUCCAUAUGCGUGCAAAUCAAAGCUAGACAUCUUUCCCUUUCCCGAUAUUAAUCACUGAAUUAUACAAAAGAACUCGAGUGCCUAGAGAUGCAACGAAGGAUAUGGAAUUGGCUGCUACCGCCUCCACCAGUAUCCAAAAGAUCGAAGCCGAAUAUCUUAAGGACCAAGCAGAAAAGAAACAUAAGGAAGUUGUGGCCACUAGAUCUAUACCUGCAGAAGCAUCUUUGCCUACUCUGGCCCCUGGGCCUUCAGGUAUAUCAAAUGUCAUUACCACUCAUUCUAACCAUACAAGUCCCUUUGCUGCUUCAUUACCACCCAGACAUACGGCUGCCGUUGCCUCCUGUGAGCCGAUCACUCAGGGAUCCUUGAUCCGAAUGGGACAGCUUGCCCAAUCUGCUAAUUGUCAGACUGCCAAAAUAUAAAGCUCAGUUUCUGGCAUGAUUCAGGUUGCCUUCGACGAUACUGUGAGACCACUAAACAUUAAUAUUGAUGCUUUAGAGGCCAGGAUAGUAGUGUGUGAGCACGAUCAAGGAGCCAUAGAGGAAGUAAUAGCCUUAAAGGCCGCGAUUGCAGAGCUGAAGAAAGAUACGAACUACCUAAAGUCCACCGAUAUAUCCAUGAUCUUUGGAACAGUGGAAAUUCCAGAUGUGCCCGAAAUGCUUGCAGGACAUGGAGAUGGAAUGGAGCAUACAGCCGAUCCUGAAUCAGAGGCAGAAACUGACGAAGAAAUGUUUGAGGAAGUUGCAGCGGAUGACAUAGCCGAGACUGAAGAAAUCAUGAUAGAUGUUGUUGUGCAAGCUUCUUUGACAAAGUCUCCUACUGCUGGAUCCAGUGGAGCUAGUCUUUCUGGUGGUCACUCCGGGUACUGAUGCCAGACAUAUGAAGCGAACGAUUAGCCAGGACUCCUUCUUUACCUCCCUCUUUGUAUUUCUUUAUUUUGCCUUUCAGAUUCUGUGUUUAUUUGCAUUUGAGGACAAGCGCUCUUAUUUGUGGUGGGGUGAUGCCCACCUUGUUUUGCUUGUUUCAGAUACUUUGUUUUGGUGUACAUUUGGGUUGUCUGUUUUUAAUUGUGUUUAUAAAACUGCUUUGCGAUUAUUUGAGCUUGUGGCUCCAUUUUCGUUUAUUUUUUAUCGAAAAAUGAUUUUAACCCUAUUAUGACCCUCCCUAAAUUUUUUGAAUUUUUUGCACAUUUUCGCCACCCCUUGUGUUGAAAGUAGUUGUUCUUGUACAAAUUCAAGUAUCGGUUUCAAUCAAUACCGAUGACUGGGAUAGUGCUCUCAAUCGAACAAACAUGAAUGUACGGCUACGAUGAGGCAAAAUGAAGUUGCAUAGACAAUAUGGUAACUCUUUGAAUCUCGUUGUGAUUAGCCAUUUAUCGAAUUAUUUCUCUUGUAAUGACCGUUGCACACUAGCGAAAGUGUGUAGUCUUGUUUGACUUAAGUGUCGAUGCCUUCUGUGAUGAGCUUACUUUGAACCAUGCAUGAAUAAACCUAGAAUUUGCCCCGUUAGUCUGAUUGAUUUAGUAAGGUGUGCUCUUGAAAUGAUCUUAGGCAACUUUAAAGAGUGUGAGUCGAUUUGACAUAUACCUCUUUUGUGGCCUACUCUUGAGCGUGUGAAACUCUUUUGAACAUCCUAUGAGCCUUACCUCUUUUUGGAAGAAUCUUGAUGAACCCUAGACCUUACUUGACCCACUACCUAUAAUCCUUUUGAUUUGUGAUUUAGUGAAUAGCCAACUUAGGCCAAAAGCCUAAGUUGGUGGUGUGGUGAAACGGAAAAUGAGAAAUCAAGAAGUGCAAGAAAAUUCCCCCUUAACCCAUGGUGUUGCAGAACAAUGGAAACCCCUAAAAAAACAUAUUUGUGGAAUAAAGUGUCAAAGAAAUCGGGUUUCCAAGCAAUCCAUGGAGAUGAAUAAAAAGAUGACUUAGAAGCACUAGAAAAAGAAUUGGUAAAGAAAAUGAAAGGAAUGCCUUGAGAACACCACAUCUCAUGAUGAUGAAAAGUCACUAAGCCUAAAUGACCAUACCUUUGCACUCAGCCCCAUUACAAGCCUUAAAAAGACCCUUUCGAUCUUGAGUGAGCCGAACCGAAGAUCAAUUGGAAAAUAAGGGCAAGCCUAUGGGUGAAAACAUGCAUAGUGUUCCUCUUUUUGAGUGUGACCGUUGCAAAUGAUUCCUGAUCUUUAAUUGAUUAACCUAUCUGUGUGAACGAGGAAUCAUUCUUUAUGUGAGGGCAUUUAGAUACUUUUUGUUGAGCUUGAACUUGCACAGGUAGCAAGUAUUUCGAGCAUGAGAAUCUUUGAUAAUGGUGUGUCACAACUUGAAUCUUUGAGUACACAGUUGAUCUUUGCAUGGGUAAUUUGAGUUUUGUUGUGUAUAUUCAUGAUUGAGUCUUGUAUAGCACUGUUUUGAGACAUCCUAUUUGAACUGCUGAACUUGAGUUUUACUUGAGAACAACCAAAAGUUUAAGUUGGGGGCGUUGAUGAGUCCACAAAUUGGACUCAUUUAGGGCUUUAUUUUAAUAGAAAUAGUGUCCUCAAAUACUUAUUUAUUCUAAAUAUCUGAUGAAAACACUUAAGUUUCAGGUAUUUGAAGUUUUAGUGGAAUCAUGGACACUUAGGCGCAAAAAGGCUGAAAAGAACGAAGAAGCUGAAGCCUGAGCAUCGCCAAGCACACUUGGCGAUUCGCCGAAGGGAAACAUUCCGCCUUUUGUUCCAGUACGCGAAGCCCUGAAGGAGAAGGAUCAAAAAGAUAAUGAAAGGAGCAGUCGGCAUAUCGCCGAAUAGUUCCGCGAAGCGAGUACUAUGUCACCCAAUGACACAGAGCACGACGAUGUUGAAGGCUAGUGCAAGACGACGACGAACUACACCAAAAGGGGCGAAUCGCCGAAUUAAUCGGCGAUUUCGACUAACCUCGCGGAACGAUCCGCCAGUACUAAUUUCUAAAGUUUAUAAAUACUAAAAUUGUUAUUAAUUUUUAGAGGAGUCGAACAUUUAUUUUAAUUUUCACAAUAGAAUAGUACUUUUGGGAUAUUUUCUCUCAAGUUUGGAAAGGGUUUUUGGGAGACUUGAAGAAAGAGGGAUUUCAUCUUCUCCAACUUGGAAGUGGGUCUUCUCCAUUCUUCUUCCUUUGCUUAAAUCAAGGUUUAAUUCUUUAUACCCAUUUGAUUUUAGUAUCAUUUUAGGUGUAUUUUGUUAUUUCUUGACGUGUGGCUAAAAAUCCCCAUUCUUGGGUGUGAUUUAACAAAUAUGUGUUGGUGUUAUUGUUGGGUCUUGCUUGCUGAUAGGUUAGAUGUAUUUUAAUGGUGAUUUGACCUAGUGAUUGUGGUUUAAUUUAAUGGGUUUGUAGUUGCAAAUAGGGAUAAGGGUAUAAAAAAUACCCCAACUUUGGUCGGAUUUGCUGUUGCGAUACUAAACUUUCAUGAGGACCUAUUACCUCCCUAGAAUAUUUAAUACCGUAUUUUAAAUAUAUAUAUUUGCCCAUGUGGACAUAAAAUAUAAUGCAAAAUUAUAAAUAGUAAUGUAUCCAUGUGGGCACAUAUAUAUCUUUAAAAUACACUAUUAAAUAGUUCAGGGGGUAAAAAAUACGGUAUUAAAUAGUCUUGAGGUAAUAGGUCCCAAUGAAAGUUUAGUAUCGCAACAGCAAAUCCGACCAAAGUUGGGGUAUUUUUCAGACCCUUAUCCCUUGCAAAUACAAAACUACUCAUGUGUUUUCGGCUUGCCCGAGAGGGAGGUCGCGAAACAAAGACCGCUAGACUGAGGGCCUAAGGAGUGAGUCGACAUGAGGUUCAGUCCUAGUCCCAUAUCUUAACACUCAGCUCGAGAGAGUGAGUGGGGUAAGGUGUAGAUUGGCCUUCAUGCGGUAAAUGGGUGUUCCAGAGGAACUCAUUUGAAACGGGGUAAGUUGCCCGAGAGCAUUAUCUUGCAAAUUUCCUAUCGAAACCAUGUACCCAACGAUUUAUCUCAACUUGUAUUGCGGUCACACCCCAAGAACCUGUCCUCAUACUUGAUUUUCUUAUUAUUCUUGUUGUUUCUACUACUUGUGACAAAACCCCCAAUUGAUAUUUGACACUUUUGUGUCACCCCCUUUUAAUUUACUAUAUUUUUAAUCGUUAAUGUCUUUAUCUCGACUAGUUUAAACUAAAUUUUAUUUCUCUACUAAUUCUCAAAACCAUUCCCUUGGGACACGACCCCAACCCCUGAUUGGGUUACUAUAUUAUCGACGAUCGUAGAUACUCGUACUGUAGGUUAGUGUCGUUGGUCACGAUAAGCAUCAUAGGACUACUAACAUACUUUAACAACUCCAAGACAACGCCAAUUAUGACAUUCGAAAUAACCAAAUCUUCCCAAUCUUCCCACUCCAUCAAGGGAAUAUCGCAGGAUUGGUACCCAUGAUCCACCACUAGGGAUCCACCCACAAAAGUUAAAACACACGUAAUCAUUGCUAGUGAAACAUACUCACUAUACUAACAACCAUCAUAAGCACUCCGACCAUUUACUUUAUUAUAAACCAACACUUUUAAAUGAAAACCUUUCUUAGGUAUUUAACAAUCAACAAAAAUGAACCUUACGACUCAACCCAGGUGUUAGUCCUUUCAAAUGCUCAAUACCGAAUACAAUUGAUCAUUCCUCACCUAGCUAAUUCAUACCUUGACAAAAUACAUCAUCACGAAUGUAGACUUACAAUGAAAAAUAUGAAUUGUUCCACUGUAUAACACAAUCCCUUUCUCUAUCAACAUUAACUUGUACCUUGAAGAUUCUUAUGAAUUCAUAGAUCUUCGCUUAUCAUUGAUCGCAUCUCCAUCGAUCUUACAAUAUCCUUCGGUAAAUUUCAAUCGUACUCAUUACUAAACUCAAAACAAAAACAAAGCACUUAUCAUCACACUCGAGCUAAUGUCUGUACACUCAUUUCUCAAGUGUUUUUCAAUAGUUUUUAACCAAUCCGACAGACUUGUUACAUUACUACCAUAGCCACAGCAACACGAAUGAGAUCACACGUCUCUGAACCCAAUUAUCUACCCCUUUGAAGAUAUCUAUUUAUCCUUUAGAAUCCAAUAAAAAAAGUUUUACUACAUUCUACUAUAUUUUCCUUCAUUAUAACUCUAGCUCUUUAACAUUCUAUUUGAGUGGUGUCCUACCAUCUCUUAUAAUUUUCCAUACAACCACGUUACUCACAAAGUAUUAGGAAACCACAACCUUAGAUACUCGCAAGUCGUAAUUACUAGACACAAAUUUGCUUAACCAACAAUUUUAUUAUAUAGUUGCAUAAAGUAUUAGGAAACCACAACCUUAGAUACUCGCAAGUCGUAAUUACUAGACACAAAUUUGCUUAACCAACAAUUUUAUUAUAUAGUUGCAUCCUGUCACAAUCUAUCACGAACUCUUAUUACCAUUACGCUCAGUCAGCCUUGACUAUCACUCGAAGCCAACAUUUCCUCAACACGACACCUUAAACUCAAGUAAACUCAUCAAAUUCAAAGGACUAACCCCAUUUUUAUACGCACUUUCUUACUAACAUCUUCAAUUGCCUUCACCCAAGUAUACUCAAUGAGACUUUAUUUAUCCAUAAAGUUGUCUUUCUGGUAUUAAUACACUCCUUUAUGGCUAACGAUAAAAUCACCAGUCCUCAUACUAACAUCCUUCUUCCUAAUAAACAAGAAAAGAACAUCCCACGAAGAAGCACUAGGAUGGAUGAAACCUUUAUCAAGAAGCUCUUGGAUUUGAGCCUUAAGCUCUCUUAAUUCUACUGGAGCUAUACGAUACGGAGGGAUGAAAAUGGGGAGAAUGUCAGUUUCCAAGUCAAUGCAGAAAUCUAUAUCUCUAUCCGAAGGCAUACUAGGCAAAUUCGUAGGAAACACUUCCUUAAACUCUGACACCACAUGAAUAGACUCAAUAGAGGGAGAUGAACCUCAACAUUCCGAACAUGAGCCAAAUAAGCCAAACAACCCUGCCCUACCAGUUUCCUAGCCCGAAUAGAGGAUAUGAUCUUAGCUAGAUUAGGCUUGUACACCCCUUCCCACUCUAAUCUUUCCCUAUUGGGGACCUCUAGAGUUAUCGAUUUAGUAUUACAAUUCAGCUCGGUAUAAUAGGGGAACAACCAAGUCAUGCCUAAGAUUAUAUCAAGUCAGUCAUAUCCAGCAUAACCAAUUCAACCCAAAUCUAAAAAUCCAUAAACACAACAGGACAAAAAGAUAUACAUGGGUGACUAUGACUGACUCUUCCACUGGGGUAGAAACAUGGAUGGGGGCAUCAAGUAUAUUAUAAACCACAUCAAAUCUCAAGGUAAUUGAACUGACACAUACAAAUAAGUAGAACCAGGAUUAAACAAAACAAUAGCCAUCCGACACAGACAAAAAAAACUCUUGUGACCACUGCAUCACACCCUCAAACUCGGUCUUACCCGAAAAAAACAUAAAACUGAGCCCUGUCCUCUUGACGAGCAACCUCUUCGCCUGGUUGCACUACUCCUUUACCUACAUUACCAUUUCCCCGGCCUCCACGGCCUCGCUGAUUUUCUCCUCAUAUGCCCAAGUUCUCCACAAUUUUAACAUACUUUAUAACUUAUAUUCGAUUGUUGAACACUGAAUUAGAUCGCGGGGGUUAAUUCGGGUAGGAUUCGGGGUCUGAAUUUGUGAUUAGGAAAACAUGGGAGACAUGGCUGAGAUUCUGUCUCGCCCUGUCUUGCUCUAAAGGGAGGAAUCCCGCAUUGGCGGCCUCGCCUUGGAGGGAAAAGUCCCGCCCCAGCGGCCAAAACGGAAACAGAACCCCUGCCAACAAUUUUUCUGGGGUUCUUUUUUUUUCUAAACUCCACAAAGGUUCCUAGCUUUACUUAGCAAUUUUAGAAUAAUCCUCAUAACUAGAAUAAUCAUUGUCAACCCACGAAGUACUCAGUUUGGAAUCAUUUUACAUCGUUUCAACACUACCACACACAUAUCCCCAGGAUACACCUAGACUCUCACACGGUUAUCAGUUGGUCGCAACACACGUCCAGAUUUUUCGCUUACGAACCACAUCGUAAUUUAUCUAGACCCUUGCACCUAAUCUCGUGAUGACUUUUCUUUCACAACAAGUUUCACAAUACUAAAGCAAUUACAACUUGCAGACAAGUCCAUAUUCUUUAAUUAGUUCGUUCUAUAGAUGACCAUUACUGAUCAUUUAUGCCUUAUAUGGCCCCUAAGGCCAAAUACCAAUUGGAACCUUCUCAGUUCCAAUUAACUUGCUUGUGUCCCUUCAGUCGGGACUACGGCGUUUAGUUCACUUUUUUAAGAUAUCAAUUGGAAUCGGGAGAUACCAAUUGGACUCAACUCAUACCAUAAGCGACAAUAGUAGCUACCAAGCUCCACAAAACUGUUAAUUUCAAUCAUAGAACUUGGUCGAACCCAAUUUUUAACCACCUCAAUCUUUAACUUAUGGUAACCAAACCUUAAAUCAAUCUUAGAGAAAAUUAAUGCACCUUGAAAUUGGUCAAAAAGAUCAUCUAUCUAAGGCAAUGGAUAUUUGUUCUGAAUGGUGACCCUAUUCAACUGUUGGUAGUCUAUACACAUUCUUUUUUGCUAGUGAUGGUGUUACCACUUUUGUUGAUCUAGUUCAGAACAUAGAGUGAAGGAGGAAAGAUAUCAAUUUGUAUCACCCAGAUACCAAUUGGAUUCAAGUCAUAGCAUGAAAGAGUAGAAAGAAGUGAGUUUUUCCUAAAGUCCUAUAGCCUCUCGAAAAAAGUACGGACAUUAUUGUACCAUUUCGCAAGACACUACUAGACUCAUUUUGGUACAAUGAGAUCAACGAACCUAGGGCUUUGAUACCAACUUUGUCAUGACCCAGACCGUCGUGAUUGACACCCACACUAACCCUCUGGUGGGAGAACCAUUACUACAACCCAAGCUAGACAACUUAAUCAAAAACUAUGCAUUUAAAGAUAUGGAAGCAUGUUUAAAUAACUAUAUAAUUAAUAUUGAGACCCUAUAAACUCCAAAGAUGUUAACAAACAAAUAACUAAUCAAACUAAUGCGGAAGAACAACCCCUAGAACCUGAAAGUUAUUGUAUCAAAACUCUACUAACGACAAGUCUAAGAACAAGGGGUACAACCCCAAAACUAAACAACACCUUAACUAAUAGUAUGAGUCUGAAAAGAGUGGACUUAAAUAAGAAAGAUCCAUGGUAGCCUGAAAGAACUGGCUCACCCUUGAAUCUGGUCACGCUCAAUAGUCACCUAGUUAAGGUCUAUCAAUAGCCACCUGGAGAUGGCCUGCACUCAACAAAGAAAGAGCAAGUGUAGAAUCAGUACAUAACUACAGUGUACUGGUAGGAUCACGUGGCUAUCCCAAUAAGUGAAACACAUGCAAGUAACCACAACAUUAUAAAACAGGCAUAUACCGAACAUAUAUAAUAUUAGUCAUCUUUACAGGAUUAAUAUAGCAUCCCACAUUCUCAAUAAUACACAUUGCUUAUCAAUUUAGAGUAACAUACAGUCUUCCAAUAUCAAUCAUUAUUAGAUAUGAACGUAAUCAUCACAAGUAGAUACACAACACAAUUCAAUGGUCCUCUCAUAAACCCUAUUCAAUGGUCUUAUCAUGGAACCCACACCCAAACUAUUAGCAUACUGGAACAUGGUACCCGAUCCAAUGUUUAUACCAAAACGUGGCAAUCGAUCCCAUAUUUAUGUCGAAACGUGGCAAUCGAUCCCAUAUUUAUGUCAAAACGUGGCAACCGAUCCCAGUUAAUGUGUCGAAUUGUGACACCCGCCCAUUCAACAAACAACAAUCACAAUCACAAUAUAUAUUCUCACAAUCAUACAACAAGAGGUGAUUCAUGGCAUACAAUUAUUCAAUUAUCCUAAUUUACGAUUAGGGUGAUCAAUAAUGCAACAUUCGCAUUAAACAUGCAUUAUAAUGAAGCAAUUACAAACAUAUAUCACACCAACAUGAAAUCACAACCAUCACCUACCUCGAAAUAAGCUAGAAACCCUAAGAAACUUGAUCCUUCCUUUUUUGAAUUCGUUCCGCUUGUUCUUGGUCUACAAACAACAAAUAUAAUACGGGAAUUAAUAAAUGAACACUAAUUACUAACAUUUCUCUCAACCCUAGAUCAACCCAUGAUCUCAAUUAGGGUUGUUUCCACCAUGAAUUCUAGAUCAAAACCCUCUCCCAUCGAUAAUAACCCAAGAUAAUAGGUUCUACGGAUCGAAAAACUGAUUAGGAGAGUAAAAUCCUUACGUUUAGUGCUAAAAGAGGUGGAAAACCUUCAAAAAAAAUAGCCCUAGGUCGUUUCUUAGUUGUUAAGAAUGAACUUUUGCAGAAAAUAACAUUUUUGGAGGGUUUUACCCUAUUUAAGUCACGAUUGUCCCGCUACGGUGGGACCCAUCCCGCUACAGAAUGUUACCCGUUCAUGCUAAGAUCAUUUUCAGGAGUUUUACUCGCCCAAAUUUGAUUCCUUAAAGUCGUACAAGUUCCUUAACAUCUUAGUUAUCUACUCAUGUGGUCCAAAUCAUAAUUAGAUCUCUCAUUCACUACCAGAUUUCCCUAGGCCUUGCUGACUCCAAUUCCGUCCAAAUCUGGACUAGGCUAGGAAAUCCCAAGUUACUACCAAAAAGUUUUCAGACCCCAAUUCUUUCCCCAUUGGCUUUUCCCUAAUGACGAAAUCGGGUCGUUACUGAACGAUAAUGCAACUAGUAUCCAAUCCUGAUAUUUCAUACAAAAGUAAGGCAAAUAAUAAGCAUAGCCAUCUUAAGAGUUUGUGUCACGUGUACAAGAGUUUUACUUUUUCCUCUUUCUCAAUUUAUGUGAUACUUUUUAUUUUUUAAAAACAAUUUGUAAAUGACCUAUUGUUGUUCAUCCUGUAUUCCUAAGAAACUUUGAAGAACUUGAUAAGAAACAACAAAGUUUAAAGAACAUUUUCAAAAUUAGAAAAUUAAAAUCAGUAAGGAAAUAAACUCAGAAACAAAUUAGAAACAAUAUACAAAAUAUUUUUCUUAAAAAGGAAAAUCGAGCGCACUGAAUACAUAGUGUCCUCUUAAGGAAAUUAUUCCCCUCAAGUGGCCGAGGUUAAUGAAAUAUAUUCUCCGAGGAUAGAACGAUCUUACUCACCGGUGUAUUGGUACCUAAAACCACGGUGUCAACAAACCACUCAGUGCAAUAGUAAAGUACACUUAGAAUACUAGAUUUAAUAGUAGUAGAAGAAGUCCAGAAAAUUGGUUCUCGUAAAAUGAGAGGAAAUCACUCAAUUUAUAGAAAACAGAGGGUAGUAUGAAAAGGUUCAUAUUGUGCCUAACCGGAAAGGUCACGAUCCUUUGGAAAAGUCACAAUCUUUCGAAAAGGUCACAACCUUUAAUAAAAGUUACAACUUUUAAUAAAAGUCACAACUUUUCAUUUUCUAUUCAAACCUUUUAAAACCCAAGAAUCCCCCGCAUGAAUGGGGAAUGACUCCAAGACAAAGAAACGGACAAGUGUGUGUACUUUACAAGCAAGAAUUAAUUGCAUCUGGCUAAGUAGGUUUCCCCUUGAAUUUUCUGAAGUGAACAUAUGUCGAAUAUACUCAGUCAAUCGGUAGAUUUGAUAUCUUUGAACCGUCAAGCUUUGAUGUAUACCUAGAUAGCGAUGCAUAUGUCACACAAUCAACCCUUUACCGUUUAUGAUUCUUAUGAUUGUGUUCGUUUCAGCCAUGAACACCUCUUUGUUUCAUGAGUGUAUAGAGAGAUGUGCUUUGGACAAUCAUCCUCUUUGAAACGGCUUACCCUUCACACUCACAUAGGUGAUUUCUAAUCGUGUUAUCGCGUAGAUACAUUAUUUGGUCAAAUCUGCCAAACUUAGCAAAUCAUUAAAAACUUUUAGCUAUAUUAACUCAUUAACAAGCCUUAAUGUUGUAUCUUUGUCCCUGAGCAUUGUCUUCAUCAUGAGAAUGGAUUGAGUUGGUUGACAAGGUCAAACCGUCAGUCACAACUUUGUUUUUAUCCUUGAACAUAACUCUUGGGAUCUCCAGUCUGGGUAGAGUUACCUCUAUGAUGACUUAUCCUAAGCAGUAAACUCAUUCCCUUAGAUGAUCUUUCAACUUUCUCUCUAUUUAGGCCUUUUUGUAAGUGGAUCCGACAUAUUAUCCUUUGACUUUGCAUAGUCAAUUGUGAUAAUUCCACUAGAGAGUAGUUUUCUAACGGUAUUAUAUUUAUGUCUUAUAUGACGAGAACAAGAAAGCAUGGAUUUAGCAACAACUUUUUAGCAAUAACUAUAGAGUUGUUGCCUUAUAUCAAUAAAUUGCAACAACUUGAUUUGAUUGUUGGUAUUUCUUGUAAUUUUUAACCACAAUAUUUUUAUUGUUGCCAUAUAUUUUGAUAUUGUUGUUAUAUUCUAUUUUUAAUAUAAUAAAUCUCAAAUAUAAGAAAAUUGCAACAACCAUAAUAUUGUUGCCUAAUUUAUAUAAGAAAAUUGCAACAAUAUAGCUAUCUUGUAGAAUAUUUGGCAACAAUAAUUUUUUGUAUUGCUAAUGUACUUAACUUUGCAAUAACUUAUACAAAUUGUGCGCUGUUUUAAUUUUAUUUUUCAAUUUACCGCCAAAACAGAGCGCAGUCUUUUAAUCUUCACCAAAAUAACUCGGGGAAGUUCCCCAAAUUUUAGCGGCCAAUUUAGUUUUUCCUGAAAUGAAAGCUAGGUUCUUCAGAGAAAGCUAGGUUAUGGGUAGUAUCUGGUAUGUUUUCUAUUUAAUUAUUUAGUCACUUUUCACAAAGUUUGGUGAAUUUUUGCCUAUGAUUGCCUUAUGAUUUUAGUGUCUUUGAUUAUCUUCUUCUUGCGUAUGAACCAUUACAGCCUAAAUUUACAUAGUGAGACCAAUAUACAAUUAUUUUGAACCUCUUGUCUGCACUUUUGAUAAUUUUCCUUCGCAUUCAAUUACGGUUAUGUUAAAUUUUGGUUAAAUAUGUUAAAUUUUGAGUCUUUUUUGUUUAUCUGAGCAUUGUUGGUUAAGUCUUUGCUGGGUGUUUGUCAAAUUUCCAUCUUACUAUCUUGAGUUAAAGUGUUACUUGGAUCAAUAGUGUGUAAAGCUAUAUUGUGUUUUCUUGAAUAUUCCUAAUUAAUUGGGGUUUUGAGGAAGAGUUGAUCGGAUGAUUGUAUCUUGUUUGGGAGCUAGCUACAUUAGAUUUAUGAUUAUAUUUGGUGAAGUCAAUUAUAUCCAUUUCAACUUUUUCGUCAAAUAUCAAUCGGAAAUGUUUGUUUUCCAUUGACAAGUUAAAUUGUCUUAUAAGCUUUACCAAAAUUCUCUGGCAAUCUGAAAAUCCAUACUGAUUUAGGGGUAAACUAGUUUUGUUCUAUUAGUAAGUAUCUUUUAUUCCUUGAGUAGUGGAUCUACCAAAAUCAACUUCUCUACCUCUGAAGUAGAGGUAAGGUAUGUCUACAUUCUAUCCUCCUAAACUCCACUUUGUGAGCUUAUAUUGAGUAUGUUGUUAUUGUUGUUGUAGGCAAUUAAGAUUAUAUUUUAUUCUCAAACAUUCGUAUUAGUUUGUGAAUCCUUCAAGGAAAGAAGCAUGAAUUAAAAUAAAAAUGGGCAUUCUAAACGCAUACCUUAGAGGGUCAUAGAGAAAUUAGUGCUUGGUGACUCAAGAGAGUUGGGGAAGUUGCAGAUCAUCAUUAAUGGAGACCGAAAAGACUGAAAUGUUAUGAAAGAGUGGGUUGGACAAUUGAUCUCAAGGUACAUUAACUGUUUGUUAAAAUUACCAAAAGAAGAGAAAAUGUCUAGCUUUCAUAAGGCACUCAUUCAACCCAAUAACUCUUUUCAAAUAAAGAGCAGUCUAAUUAUGAUUUAUGAUGUGCUUGAAGGAGUUGGCAUAAGAGAAAUAGAUGACCCUGACCAAGAUUUGAACUAGGGAUCCUUUGCAAUCAUAGCUAAUUUGUUGAGAGAAUUCACGAACUAUAUUAAGUAUGCCAUGGAGUGUGGGAAAAAGGUCAAAAUAAGGUACGAUAAUGAAGGUUUGCCAGGUUUUUAUCCGAAACUCAACUAUAGAGUGAGUGUGAGCUCAUGUGCCGCAGACUGUUUGUACAGGAUAACUCUAUCCAGCAAGGAUAGAAAAUAUGAAAAGAAACAGCUUAGUGUUCGUCUCUGUUGGUAUUUAGACUUGAAAUGGAUAAUGGCAGUAAACUUCAUUGAAUCAGUUGAUCGUUGCGUGUAGAUACCUUUCUUCUUUAUCUAAUUUAGGUUUCGUGUUCCCAGGUUUUCCUAUUUUUUUAGGGUUUAAUUUGGUUUGAUAGCUCAUUUUUGGGUUUAAAAUGGCUGAUGCAUUUGAAGAUGAUGCUGAGAAUACUGUUUCAAUUUGAGAGUUUCUCCAAGAUCUUGAACAACAAGAACUGGAGGAAGAUUUGGUCUUAGGUGGUGAUGAAGGCAAGGAGUGCACCUAUAGUAAAGGUUAUAUGAAGAGACAUGCUAUUUUUCUUGUUUGACAUGCACACCAGAUGGGAAUGUUGGAGUAUGCAAAACUUGUAGCCUCUCUUGCCAUGAUGUUCAUGAGAUUUUGGAACUUUGGAUGAAGAGAAACUUCAGGUGUGACUAUGGAAAUUCAAAGUUCGGGGAGUUCUUCUGCAAGCUUGAUGCUAGCAAAGAUGUUGAAAACACGAAGAAUACAUAUAAUCACAAUUUCAAAGAUUCAUACUGCACAUGUGUGCCGGCCAUAUCCUGAUCCUGAUGUUGAAGACCAAUUGGAGAAUCUCCAAUGUUGCAUCUGUGAGAACUGGUUUCAUGAGGAGCAUCUUGAUCUUGAGUCCUCUGAUAUGGUUCCAAGGGAUGACAAAGGGGAGCCUCAAUUUGAGGAUUUUAUCUGCCGGGGGUGCGCAACUGUUUGUUCUUUUUUAAAGCUAUAUCCUGAUUCUAUCUUUGCACCAGUCCAGCAGCAAACUACUACAAAUUCCUCAAGGGACAAGGAGGUGGUUGAAGAUGCACCCUUGACUAUGGGAUCUUCUAAGGAGCUUAGCUAUGGAAGUUCCUCAGUUAAGACUCAUAUAACCGAUAAUAAUCCUAAAGAAGACUGCAACGGAAAGGCUGUUCUUCUUGGAGAAAAUGCCGCAACAAACACUCUCCUUAACCAGCGUAACGCAGUUGUUGGUCCUAGUACCAAAUGUGUUGUUGGACUGAAUUUGUUAGAAGCUCCAAUUAGCCUUGAGAAAAGCAAGUUGAUGUUCCUUUCCAAAGACUGGAGAGAAGACCUCUGUAGGUGUCCAAAUUGCACAGAAUUCUACAAAUAGAAAGGCCUUGCCUUCUUACUUGAUAAAGAGGACACCAUUGCCGAAUAUGAGAAAAUGGCAAAGCAAAAGAGAGCUGAACAUGAGCAAGAACAGAGCGCUGAGUUGCUUAAUAAUCUGGGCAACGUCGAGAAAAUGGAGGUUUUGACUGAUAUCGCUGACCUUAAAGAGGAGAUUGGUACCUACCUGGCAUCCUUCGAUCCAUCAAAGCCAGUUACAUCUGAUGAUGUUUAUAAGAUUUUUGAGAAUCUUGCCAAGAAGCGUAGGCGUAUGUAUUGAGUUAUCUUAAAUGUUCAAGAAAGUGGCUCUACAGCUACAUAUGUAGUGCAGUUAGUUUUACUGCUCAAUGCUCCUUGUAAACUGUUCUAUUUACAAGGAGAAUUCUUAAUGUUGCUUUAUUACUAUCUAACUUUAGCUUAUCGUGUUGUGCUAGCUAUAGUGAAACAAUGCGAUCAUGUUAGUUGUUAAGCUCAAAGAAAUCCUUUGGGUUAGAAAGUAUCUAUUGAAUAAAAAUUUCCUGGUAAAAAAAAAAAGAAAAAAAAAACUUGAGACCUCAUGAUGCUUAAUCAACUUCAUUGACCACUAAGACACACCAUUGAGUGCUUGUUGUUUAGGCUUCUUAAGUAGUGAGAAUGAGGACAUGAGAUACUACUCAAUUCUAUUAUGUUCAGGUUUUCUAGUUCUUAUUAGAAUGUUAACUCUUUGAAUAAAGUCAAAGUAUAUAUGGUUCUGGAUUGAAAAGGUAUAAUAAUAUCUUAUUGUGAUUCAUUAUGUGACACUGAAUGGUAUAAUGUGAUAAUUAGAACUGGCUAGCUGUGUAAGUUUCUUCAUUUAUGAAAUUUUGGGAGAUGCUGGCGAGAGAUGUCUUAUUUAGAGCCGGAGCUAGAGAAAAAGUUGUGUAUUUGGCAGAACCCAAUAGGUUUUGUCAAAAACUUAUAUUUGUGUUGCGAAAUUCACUAUAUAUGAAUUUAAUUUAUCAAAACCUUGUGUAAGAUACAUUUGUUAGAAGGCAGAAUUCAUAAACUUAAAUUUCUGACUUCACCUCUAGUCUUAUUCAGUAAAGCGUUCCUUAACGUGUUUGUUCUUCUAUGUCUAUAACUUGAUAUAUCAACUUAAUUAAUUUUUUCAAUUGCUUUCAUGGAAGGACCGUGGAUAUGUUGUUGCUUUGACAAGAAAAGAACAAUACAUGUCAUCUUUAGAACCUGUAAUGCAUGCCACUAUGCCAGGAGUUAUUUUCCUGGAGUAUGGAAAUGUUCAAGUAGCAAAAUAAGUAAUUCAGAGUGGUAAAAUAGCUACUGUAUUUGUUGAACCAAUCAAAGGUGAAAGUGGCAUAAAUAGUGCAACAAAAGAAUUUUUACUAGCACUGAAGGUUGCCUAUAAUAGUGCAUGUUCUCUUAUGUAUUUGAUGAAGUAAGAAACUAUACUGAGGCUUUUACUUAUAUUUUCUUUUAUUAGAUUCAGUGCGGCCUAGGAAGAAGUGGUUAUUUUUUGGCGCACGAAGCUUAUAACAAAUACCAAGAUAUUAUUUGAUUCUCUCUACUUUUAAAAUUUGUAUUUGUGUAUUUAUAAUUUACUUUAUCAAAAUAUAAUUAUAUUUAUCUUUUAUUUGCAGGAUGAAAAUGCAUAAUUCAACAAAAGUGUCGUACAAGCUAAGUACUAUUGGAAGAAGAGUUUUUGAAAAUUGCGUGUAGGAUUAGAAUACAAUGACUUGUCUAUAUAUAUAUAUAUAUAUAUAGAUAGAUAGAUACUAACAAUUAGUAAAGAUUUGCAUAAGUAUUUAGUUUUUUUAGGAAGGUGUAAAUAUCUAGACCAUCAAUCUUAUGUAUUGACCUUUGUAAAUUUAUAUAAUUUUUAGUUUCAAUAUUUAUUUAAAUUUUAAAAAAGAAAUGUGUAUUGUGUAUAUAACAACUACUUAAAAAUUGUUGCUAAAGGUGUAUAGAAAAUAUUUUUUUAUUGCAACAAAAAUUAUCGUUGCUUAAAAGCCUUUCUAACAGAAUAACAACUAACCAUUUGCUAAUUUUUGCAACAAUUAAUAUUGUUGGUAAAAAGUUCAAUUUGUGGCAACAACGAAUUUUGUUGCGAAAAUUUAAAAAGCCACAACUAUUAGAAUGUAAGGCAACAAGCUUUUUGGUUGCGAUAAGUCAUUUUUGGCAACAAUAUAUUUUGUUGUUGCAAAAACUUUUCACAUCAGCGUUUAUUGUGGCAAUAUAUUUUGUUGUUGCCAAAAGUACAAAAGUUAUACAUUGCUUGUAGUGAGACUUUCCGUUAUACAUUGCUCCAUGCCCUACUUAUUGUAUCUUGUCUAUCAAAGUGUAUGCAUACAGAUGCCAAAGGUUUGGGCCAAAAAAAAUAUCUAUCAAGAAAUUUCAGAGUCUUUCAACUUAUUCACCGACCUUAUCUAAAGCACCUAGCUCAGAGAUCAUUGUAGAGUUAGCGAUAAAUGUCUUUUUGAAAGAUUUCGAAGAGACUGCUCCUCCACCAAGAGUAAAUGCAUAUCCACUCAUGGAUUUUACUUCAUUUGAUCCCGGUGAUCCAAUUUGCAUCACUAUAUCCUUUCAAUACUGCUGGAUAUUGUUAUAAUGCAAGACAUAGUUUUGAGUAUGUUUUAAAUACCCCAAAACUCUUUUCAUUGUCAUCCAAUGAGUUUGAUUGGGAUCACUCGUGAAGUGACUCAGUUCAUUAAUAGCAUAUGCUAUAUCUGAUCGCGCACACUUUGUGAUAUACAUCACACUUCCCAAUACUCUAGCACAAUUCAAUUAUGAGUAACUUUUGUCUUCACUCUUUUGAAAUGCAAACCUCACAUUUAUUGGAGUCAUGCCAAUAUUGAAAUCAAAAUAUUUGAACUAGUCAAGUACCUUUUCAAUGCAAUGAGACCUGACAAUGCUAAACAUUAUGGAGUUUUAAGGAUUAUUAUACCUAAGAUCGUAUCAGCAACCCAAGAUCUUUCAUAUCAAACUUGAUUUCUAGCAUUCGUUUAGUAGCAUUUAUGUCAUUGGUGUCUCUAUUGAUGAUCAACAUGUCAUCAAUAUACAAACAAAGAAUGACCUUGUGAUUUUAAUGUAAACAUAUUUAUCACUUCCAUCAUUCUUAAAUUCAUUUGCCAACAUGGUUUGGUCAAAUUUCUUAUGUCAUUGUUUGGGGUGCUUGUUUUAGUCCAUAAAGUGACUUAACAAGUUCACACACUUUCUUUUCUUUACCAGGAACCACAAAACCCUCGAGCCCUCCAUGUAAAUUUCAUCCUCCAAUUCUCCAUUUAAGAAAGUUGAUAUACCGCAACUAAUAAUAUUAACAUCCGAAUGAAUGUAAUUCUAGUUACUGACAAGUAUGUGUCGACAAGAUCAAGACCUUGUUUUUGUCUAAAGCCUUUGACAAAAAGUCUUGCUUUAUAUUUGUCAACAGUUCUAUCAACUUUCAUUUUCCUUCUGAAGAUUCACUUUGAACCCAAAGGUUUAUUUCCUGGAGAAAGAUCAACCAACUUCCAAUAUGAUUGCUCAAGAAUUAACCAAUCUUACUAUUGACACCAUCUUUCCAAAAAGAUGAAUCCACAUAAGACAUAUGAAAUGUUACAAAAUCAGAUCUGAAGGUAGUAGAUGUCCUUUGACAUUUACUACGUGUAUGAAUCUCUUGAUUAAGUACAUUCUCCUUUUGUUCAUUCCAAGGCCUUUUAGACCUUUAACUAGACUACUCAAGUCUAAUUUUACAGUCCACAGUUCUUAGGUCCUAUUUUAUUCCUUUUAAGACUGGGGACUUGGACUUCGACUAGACACCCCCACACUUUGAAAUACUUCAAGUUGGAUUUUCUUCCUUUUCAUUUCUCUUAUGGAAUAGAUUAUGUCCUGAACAAACAAAAUUGUUUUCUUUCUGAAAAGACAACUUUUUGUUGUUCCCUUUUGCAUAAUGAUAGUUCCUUCACACAAGUUUUGUAGUAAAUCUGAACUUAUAAAUAAUGCAUCUAUCAUUUCUUUCAAUGUUCGAUUUUCUAUUAGAUUGAGGUGAAUAGGGCAACAGUUCAAUGGACAAUUACACUUUUCAAACAUAUUUCUGCAAAAGUAGAUUUAUACUCUCCAUCCUUGUCACUUCUUAUCUUUUUCCCAACUGAUUUUCAACUUAAAUAUUAUAUUGUCUAGACGUUUCUAUUGCUUCAUCCUUACCAUUCAGUAAAUAGACAUAGUCGUUUCUAAUGCAAUUGUCAAUGAAAGUUAUGAGAUCGAUACUCUUUUUCUGCCACAAGAUGGUGUUGACUUCAUAUCACAAAUGUCAGAGUAAAUCAACUCUAAGGGAUUAGAAUUCCUUUCAACAGAUUUAUAAGAAUGCUCAACAUACUUAGAUUCACACAAACUUGACAUUUUUAUUUAUUGCACUCAAAGUUAGACAAAACUUCUAAGUUGAUUAGUUUUCCUUACAAGGUUUUGUAAUUGACAUGUCCCAAGUGUUUAUGUCACAAACAGUUUUGACUCAAGUAAGUAAGAACAAAUAAAAAUAUUGAGUUUGAAAAGCUCUCCGCGAGGUAGCUUUUUCUCACAAAUAUUUGUUCCUAUUUCUUACAAUUUUGUGUGAUACAAACAUUGUUUAAAGUCAUUACCUUGUACAAUGUCCUUUCCAUGAACAAAGUUUCAUCGGGUCUAAUAAAUGCAAUAUAAUUCAAAUGCUUCUUUUACAAAACAUGACAAAUGACUAUUCACCAAUAUUCAUGUCUAUAUAAAUAGUUAUAUUUAAUAGACAUAUCUUUUCAUGAAAAAUCACAACAUUUUAAGUGACACUUUUUCAUAAAAGAACACAAUCAUUUUGAACAAGUAUACAUAUAAUUUGAUAAUUUCAUACUAGUCAUACCAUAUAUAUUAGUAAAAGAGAAACUCAACGGCCACAAUAUCAAAUAUACUCCAAGAAUUUUUUGGGUCUAACAUAAAACAAAAGUAUCAUCGAAUUUCAUAUCUUGUGCUCCAAAUUUAAAUCAGAUACUAAGUCUAAUUUUAUCUUUGUAAUAAGCAAAGAACUCCCCACAUUUUAAAUAUGAUCUCAAAAAUAUUUUUCAAAUAGUUGAAAAUAAUUUUUCCACAUAUAUUUUCAUACUAUCAAAAUGUCAUUCGCAGCAUGAAACCUCUUUUGGAAAUAUUAUUCUACGAAAGAAUUAUAGUGCUUCAAUUCUCUUUGACAAUUUUUAAAUAUUGUCAAAGUUCAUUCCAUAGAGGCACCUAUUGCAGGCACAAAAUCACACACUUUAAGUCACUAAUCUUUUUCUUUUCUAUCAAAGUUAGACUUACCACUUAGUAUUUAGAAUAAUAACAAUAAAGACAAAAAAAAAUUGUACAAUAAAUUAUGUACAAUUUGUUUCUACUUAACAAUGAAGUUUGUAGAAAAUCAAAAGUACAACACAGACUUAUUAAGUGAAGUUUUGAUUUUUUUUCAAACCAAUUGGAUAGUCCAAUUUAUCUAGAGUAGAAAACUAUAAAAGUUUUUAAUCUACAACAAUCAGACACAAUCAAAUUUCACACGGAGUACAAAACUACAAAAGUGUUUUUUUCUCCAAACAGAAUAAAGCAUAUUCUUAGAUUAUCACAUAGAAAUGCUUUUCUUUUCAAAUAGUCUUCCAACUAUAACAUUUUGACAUACUGUUUUAUCAGACAAAAAAGUGCAUCUCUCAUUCUGCAAACUAAAGAAUUUUAAAGGCAACACUAUUUGCCAAGUAAAAUUUAUUCCAAAACAUAUGGUUUGCAAAUUUUUUUCCAAAGAUACACAUGAAAAAUAUCAAAAGAAUUAACUUUUAGAAACUAUUUUCCUCCUUAGAUAAAUAAUAAGAAGUUUACAUGUAAUCUUUAACCAAACUACCACCAAUUUUUCAGCCACAUUCUCAAUUCGAUCUUGCUAAACAAGGCACCGAAUUCUGAAGAAGUAGUGCAUUAAUCUUCUACUUCCAUCAUCUGUUUCUCUCAAUCACUUUCCGCGAAGCAGUACUAUGUCGCCCAAUGACACAGAGCACGACGAUGUUGAAGGCUAGUGCAAGACGGUGACGAACUACACCAAAGGGCGAAUCGCCGAAUUAAUCGGCGAUUUCGACUAACCUCGCAGAACGAUCCGCCAGCACUAAUUUCUAAAGUUUAUAAAUACUAAACUUGUUAUUAAUUUUUAGAGGAGUCGAACAUUUAUUUUAAUUUUCACAAUAGAAUAGUACUUUUGGGAUAUUUUCUCUCAAGUUUGGAGAGGGUUUUUGGAAGACUUGAAGAAAGAAGGAUUUCACUUCUCCAACUUGGAAGUGUGUCUUCUCCAUUCUUCUUCCUUUUCUUAAUUCAAGGUUUAAUUCUUUAUACCCAUUUGAUUUUAGUAUCAUUUAAGGUGUAUUUUGUUAUUUCUUGACGUGUGGCUAAAAAUCCCAUUCUUGGGGUGUGAUUUAGCAAAUAUGUGUUGAUAUUAUUGUUGGGUCUUGCUUGCUGAUAGGUUAGAUGUAUUUUAAUGGUGAUUUGACCUAGUGGUUGUGGUUUAAUUUAAUGGGUUUACCAAUAGUAUAAGAAUUUCCUUAAGAUUGUUUUUCAUCCUGUAUUCCUAAGAUACUUUGAAGAACUUGAUAAGAAACAACAAAGUUUAAAGAGUAUUUUCAAAACUAGAAAAUUAAAAUCAGUGGAGAAAAUAAACUCAGGAAUAGAUUAGAAACAAUAUACAGAAUAUUUUUCUUAAAGAAGAAAAUUGAUCCCACUGAAUGCACAGUGUCCCCUUAAGAAAAUUAUUCCCCUCAAGUACCUGAGGUUAAUGGAAUAUAUCCUCCCAGGAUAGAAUGAUCUUACUCACCGGUGUAUUGGUACUUAAAACCAUGGUGUCAGCGAACCACUCAACGGCAGUAAAGUACACUUAAUAGUAGUAGUAGAAGUAGUAGAAGAAGAAGAAGUCUAGAAAAUUGAUUCUCUUUAAAUGAAAGGAAACCCCUCAAUUUCUAGAAAACAAAGGGUAGUGUGAAAAGGUUCUUAUUGUGCCUUACCGAAAAGGUCACAACCCUUUGUAAAAGUCACAAUCUUUUGGAAAGGUCACAACCUUUCAUAAAAGUCACAACUCUUCAUUUUCCAUUCACACCUUUUAAAACCCAACACCUUCAUAAUCAGUUCUCUCGAUAUUUUGUUUCAUGUUUUCCCCAUUUGUAAAGUGAUGAAUUCUCCAAACAUGUUGUUGAUCCACAACAGAAGGGGAAAAAGAACAAAUUAACUUAAGUAAUAAUGCUAACUUCCAUUAAUUGAGAUACAAAUGAGAAUACAUUCUUUAAUAAGUUGAACUAGAGCACACACAUCUUCACAACAAUUACAUAACAUUUUCAUACUACAACUUCUUCAGCUCAACAAUUUAUUUAUUGUUCCUAGUAGUACUACUAGUACUAAUUAAUAAUAAUGUCAAACUUUUCUUGAAAUAGGGGUGAGGUGGGGGUGUCCUCUUGGAAUCAUGGGAACAAUCUACUGAAACGGACACGUCGGUGGAUCAACCAGAAUAGAAUCAGGAAAUGUGCCGCCUGCUAUUCAAGUAGCACCCGGGUGGGUGGUCUUAAUUACUUUUUAAGUUAGACAUGUAAGGCUUGAUAAGUUUAAUAAGUGAGCCUUGAAGAUGAAGUGACAUGACUUCAUUAGUAGAACCAACCAAUAGUCCCCCAAUAAAAAUAGCAGGAAACAUGAAUGAACUGUUGACACCCAUCCUUAUUAGGGCCUUUUCCAUUUCUUUUCCAUCAGACUCAUGAUCAAUUUCACAAACAUAUGGAAUUACACCAAGAUCUUGAAAUAAUAUACUCACUGCAUAACUCAAACAACAUGUACUCUUGCUAAAAAUCACCACUCCAUGUUCUCUAGUCAUUCUUUGUACCUUCUCCAUAUUUUUUUUGACAAAAAUUAGAUGAAGCA
rnacentral:lncRNA from 1 species